rnacentral:ncRNA from 2 species
AAGUUAUCACGAAAGGCGGAGGGAAAGACCCGAUGAAACCUUAGCAACCCUUUAUCUUUAAAGAAGGUGCUACAUUCUACUUUAUACUGAAUUAUUCAGCAUUUAAGAUAGAUAACAC